UAAGAUAUUAACAUAGUCGAGCUAACAUCCUUUUAAGUAAAGGUUAAAACUUCAGAAAGAAAAUCAAAAUGAAAAGUGUCAAUGCAGCCUUGUGUUUUACAAUAAUCUUUGUCAGUGUGGCACACAUCAUUUAUGGAGUAAAUGGACAAUGGGAUCCAUGCGACCCUAAUCCAUGCAAAAAUGGUGGAAACUGUACUGAAAUUAAUUCUGCAAACAAUGCUGUGUGUUCAUGUCCUCCGGGGUAUGAAAGUAUCACAUGUGAAACAGCCCCAAAAGCUGGAAGCACAGCACUCUCAGAUGGGAAAAUUUGUGGUAUAGUUGUUGGUUGUUUACUUUUUGUUAUUAUGCUGUUAUAAAGGAGCCGUAGAACACAGUGAAAAAUUAAAGGAUAGCAAGUGCAAGCUUACAAUUUUUAAAUGAACUGUUGUAAUUAUAUUUUUCCCCCUAUGUCAUCAUAUGGAGUAUAAAGUGAAUGUUUUGUGUAACAUUCGUAUUGAUUUUAUUUGUACUUUCUCAGUGUUAUCAACUGCAUUAUAAAGUAGAUGUUUUAUCUUACAUUCUUCGUAAUCAUAUUUGUAUUUUCUUUUAUGAUAUCAAAUGAAUUAUUAAGUAAUAUAUAUGUGUAUUCCUUUUAGUAAUUAUAUUUGUAUUUUAUACUACUAGUUUGUCAUCAAAUGAAUUAUAAACUUCGAGUUAUGUGUAAUCUUCUUAUUGCUAGAUGCCUUAGCUUUUAGUCGUAAUAAGAUCAAUUUAUAUCUUAUGCAUUCUUAAAUUUUUCAAAAUUUCGUCUUGUCGGGACCCUUUAAACUGAAUAUACGGUUUAAGUUAAGCUCAUUGUUGAAAGCCGUAUGGUUACCUAUAGUUUCUAAAUAAAUCCACGUCAUUUUGAA